rnacentral:misc_RNA from 1 species
GGUUUGUAGUCAACAACGAUUGUCCUUCAAUCCGCCUAAGACGAAAUUUAAACACAGUAAAUCCAGAAAUACCUUUUUCUGCCCAAUACUGUAUAACCUUAUACAAACCAUCAUAUGUGUAAAGUUUCCCACAGUAACUAGUAGCAGAUUCAUGCCCCCGGACCACUCUAACUGGGACAGCUUGCUCAAUACAAUUCUUGAGAGCCAAAUUACCACGUUCCAUUUUUUGAUCCCGGAUCUGACGUUUAUUGCCAGUUAAAUUCUGCCCUCCUUGACCAGUGUAAAUG